UUUUUUUUUUUUUUUAAUUUAGUUAAUAGGAUGAUUUCUGGUAGAUUCCAUUCCAUCAAUACACCUGCUUAAUGAAUUGAUAUGGAUUUGCCUUUUCUUUUUUGUAAUUUUAGCCCAGGAAUUGGCUUUUGAUAUUGUUAUAUGUUAACAUUACUUCAUUUUGGUUUUGAAUACAUUGUAAUUUUAUCGGAUAUUGAUACAUGCCAAUACAGAGCUUAGUUGGAUGAUAAUG
rnacentral:misc_RNA from 1 species